rnacentral:rRNA from 1 species
GUGCCAGCCGCCGCGGUAAUACGUAGGGUGCAAGCGUUAAUCGGAAUUACUGGGCGUAAAGCGUGCGCAGGCGGUUGUGUAAGUCAGAUGUGAAAUCCCCGGGCUCAACCUGGGAAUUGCAUUUGAGACUGCACGGCUAGAGUGUGUCAGAGGGGGGUAGAAUUCCACGUGUAGCAGUGAAAUGCGUAGAUAUGUGGAGGAAUACCGAUGGCGAAGGCAGCCCCCUGGGAUAACACUGACGCUCAUGCACGAAAGCGUGGGGAGCAAACAGGAUUAGAUACCCUGGUAGUCCACGCCCUAAACGAUGUCUACUAGUUGUCGGGUCUUAAUUGACUUGGUAACGCAGCUAACGCGUGAAGUAGACCGCCUGGGGAGUACGGUCGCAAGAUUAAAACUCAAAGGAAUUGACGGGGACCCGCACAAGCGGUGGAUGAUGUGGAUUAAUUCGAUGCAACGCGAAAAACCUUACCUACCCUUGACAUGGAUGGAAUCCCGAAGAGAUUUGGGAGUGCUCGAAAGAGAACCAUCACACAGGUGCUGCGUGGCUGUCGUCAGCUCGUGUCGUGAGAUGUUGGGUUAAGUCCCGCAACGAGCGCAACCCUUGUCAUUAGUUGCUACGAAAGGGCACUCUAAUGAGACUGCCGGUGACAAACCGGAGGAAGGUGGGGAUGACGUCAAGUCCUCAUGGCCCUUAUGGGUAGGGCUUCACACGUCAUACAAUGGUACAUACAGAGGGCCGCCAACCCGCGAGGGGGAGCUAAUCCCAGAAAGUGUAUCGUAGUCCGGAUUGGAGUCUGCAACUCGACUCCAUGAAGUUGGAAUCGCUAGUAAUCGCGGAUCAGCAUGUCGCGGUGAAUACGUUCCCGGGUCUUGUACACACCGCCCGUCACACCAUGGGAGCGGGUUUUACCAGAAGUGGGUAGCCUAACCGCAAGGAGGGCGCUCACCACGGUAGGAUUCGUGACUGGGGUGAAGUCGUAACAAGGUAGCCGUAG